AGUAUAGGUUGUUAAAAUGUCUCAUCGCGAUUUCGUAUAAUGCGAGUAAUUGUGAGUUGAGCUGGGAACCGUAGUUUGUUAUCGUUCGUGUCCAUUAUAUGCUUUGUGAACUGUAUUUGAAGUCAAUGGUAAGAAGUCUAGAUUUCCUAAUUUUAAUGAUGAUAUAAUUGACGAGGUAAAAACAAAAACUGAAAAACAUAUUACGAAUUAAGUAUAUGGGUAACAUUGGCAAAUUAUUGUAUUUAGUUAGAUGGUUGGUCAAUUCAACAAAAAAAGACACUUUGUUUUAACUUUCAACAUAAGAAACGUCUGGCAGUUAUGGCGUCUUCUAAAUUUCGGCCUUUAAAUUUGGGCCUCAGAUUGGGUCCUAAGAUACGUGACACUUCUGCUAAUCCAAAAUAUAUCUUUGAGAUCAUUUCGUACAUCAUUUUCUGAUAUAAAAAUGCACUUGCAAGUUUUUUUUUUUUUUUUUUUUUCCCCAACCCAUCUAAAAACUAGAUCAAGUGAAGAGUAGACGAGCCGGUUCUCCUAAGAGCACCUCCAUCUAUCUGGGUCUGAUCUAUAUGGGUAAACAUGUAGCCUCUGUUCCUUGCAUUCUUUGCUAGCGCAUCUGCCCGACCAUUACGGC
rnacentral:lncRNA from 1 species